rnacentral:rRNA from 1 species
AUUGAACGCUGGCGGCAGGCCUAACACAUGCAAGUCGAGCGGAUGAAGGGAGCUUGCUCCUGGAUUCAGCGGCGGACGGGUGAGUAAUGCCUAGGAAUCUGCCUGGUAGUGGGGGAUAACGUCCGGAAACGGGCGCUAAUACCGCAUACGUCCUGAUGGUGAAAGUGGGGGAUCUUCGGACCUCACGCUAUCAGAUGAGCCUAGGUCGGAUUAGCUAGUUGGUGGGGUAAAGGCCUACCAAGGCGACGAUCCGUAACUGGUCUGAGAGGAUGAUCAGUCACACUGGAACUGAGACACGGUCCAGACUCCUACGGGAGGCAGCAGUGGGGAAUAUUGGGCAAUGGGCGAAAGCCUGAUCCAGCCAUGCCGCGUGUGUGAAGAAGGUCUUCGGAUUGUAAAGCACUUUAAGUUGGGAGGAAGGGCAGUAAGUUGAUACCUUGCUGUUUUGACGUUACCAACAGAAUAAGCACCGGCUAACUUCGUG